rnacentral:rRNA from 1 species
UCAAGAAACUUCCACAAUGGGCGAAAGCCUGAUGGAGCGACGUCGCGUGAUGGACGAAGUGCUUCGGCACGUAAACAUCUUUUAUGUGGGAUGAAAUUAUUGACAGUACCACAUGAAUAAGGGGCUCCUAACUCUGUGCCAGCAGGAGCGGUAAUACAGAGGCCCCAAGCGUUAUCCGGAAUCACUGGGCGUAAAGGGUGUCGAGGCGGUUGUAUUAGUCGUUCGUAAAAUCUACGAGCUUAACUUGUAGGCGGCGAACGAAACGGUACGACUUGAGGCUUGGAGAGGUGCGUGGAACUCACGGUGUAGGGGUGAAAUCCGUUGAUAUCGUGGGGAACACCAAAGGCGAAGGCGGCGCACUGGCCAAGAUCUGACGCUCACACACGAAAGCUAGGGUAGCGAAGAGGAUUAGAUACCCUUGUAGUCCCUGAGCGGGCUGGCAAGGCGCAU